rnacentral:rRNA from 1 species
GUGAACGUUGGCGGUGCGUCUAAUACAUGCAAGUCGAGUGGGUUUAGACCCACGGCGGACGGCUGAGUAACACGUUAGUAACUGCCCCAAACUCAAGGAUAACUAUGAGAAAUCAUAGGUAAUACAGGAUGGUCCCGCAAGGGUAAAGCUUUAUGCGGUUUGGGAGGUGCUUGCGGCCUAUCAGCUAGUUGGUAAGGUAACGGCUUACCAAGGCGAUGACGGGUAGCUGGUCUGAGAGGACGACCAGCCAGAAUGGAACUGAGACACGGUCCAUACUCCUACGGGAGGCAGCAGUGAGGAAUCUUCCGCAAUGGGCGAAAGCCUGACGGAGCGACACCGCGUGAAGGAUGAAGCCCUUACCGGGUGUAAACUUCUGUUCUGAGGGACGAAAUUUUUGACGGUACCUCAGGAGAAAGCAUCGGCUAACCCUGU